rnacentral:rRNA from 1 species
UGAGUAACCUGCCCUUAACUCUGGGAUAAGCCUGGGAAACUGGGUCUAAUACCGGAUAUGACUCCUCAUCGCAUGGUGGGGGUGGAAAGCUUUUUGUGGUUUUGGAUGGACUCGCGGCCUAUCAGCUUGUUGGUGAGGUAAUGGGCUCACCAAGGCGACGACGGGUAGCCGGCCUGAGAGGGUGACCGGGUCACACUGGGACUGAGACACGGCCCAGACUCCUACGGGAGGCAG